GGCGAGAUGGCCGAGCGGUCUAAGGCGCUAGAAUCAGGCGAGUGGGAGUCGAACCCACCAUUGAUUGAUCUAGUCUUUCGGGGCGUGGGUUCGAAUCCCACUCUCGUCA
rnacentral:tRNA from 1 species